CAAUCUGAUGCCAAAACAGCAAUCUGGGUCCACCGUCAACCCCGAUGGCACCUGACAGUCCGAAACAGUCUAGACACUGCUGUAAAAAUAAGCUCGGCAUCUCAGCACAAGCGUAAAUACAUUCUAAACUAUCCGGAAUAUUCACCACUCUCAAAACUGUGGUGACACCAACAACCCACGGCCCCUAGAGCUAAAUCUGGUAGUUUAAGCAUAUGACGGUGUAAAAUCAGCAGUUUUCUCCUAAGUCAAAACUAAGUCCAACAUAUAUAUUUAAUCAAUAUUUCAAGCUCCCAAUUCAGAUUCUACUAAGCAUGCAAAUCAUAAAUUUGAGCUAAUUACAUUAAUCAAACCGAUAACGAUAC
rnacentral:lncRNA from 1 species